GAUGAACGCUGGCGGCGUGCCUAAUACAUGCAAGUCGAACGAGGUGCUCUUGUAGCAAUACGGGAGUAUCCUAGUGGCGAACGGGUGAGUAACGCGUUGGUGACCUGCCCCAAAGUGUGGGAUAACAGUCCGAAAGGAUUGCUAAUACCGCAUGUGGUCAUCGGGUUUAGAAACCGGUGACUAAAGCAGUAAUGCGCUUUGGGAGGGACCUGCGUCCCAUCAGCUAGUUGGUGAGGUAACGGCUCACCAAGGCGUCGACGGGUAAGGGACCUGAGAGGGUGGUCCCUCACAAUGGCACUGAAACACGGGCCAUACACCUACGGGAGGCAG
rnacentral:rRNA from 1 species